AUUGAACGCUGGCGGCAUGCCUUACACAUGCAAGUCGAACGGCAGCACGGGAGCAAUCCUGGUGGCGAGUGGCGAACGGGUGAGUAAUGUAUCGGAACGUGCCCAGUCGUGGGGGAUAACGUAGCGAAAGCUACGCUAAUACAGCAUACGAUCUAUGAACGAAAGCGGGGGAUCGCAAGACCUCGCGCGAUUGGAGCGGCCGAUAUCAGAUUAGGUAGUUGGUGGGGUAAAGGCUCACCAUGCCGAAGAUAUGUAGCUGGUGUGAGAGGACGACCAGCCACACCGGGACUGAGACACGGCCCAGACUCCGACGGGAGGCAGCAGUGGGGAAUUUUGGACAAUGGGCGCAAGCCUGAUCCAGCAAUGCCGCGUGCAGGAUGAAGGCCUUCGGGUUGUAAACUGCUUUUGUACGGAACGAAACGGCGAGCUCUAAUACAGUUUGCUAAUGACGGUACCGUAAGAAUAAGCACCGGCUAACUACGUGCCAGCCGCCGCAGUAA
rnacentral:rRNA from 1 species